rnacentral:misc_RNA from 1 species
UGAAAAUCUAAAACGACAACGGGGUCAGCAUAAAAUCCAGAUUUUGGUUCCAUGACAAGGGGUAUACAUUCCAUGGCAGGUUGAGAGGCAACUUGUUGGUUUCCAGGAGAAAUGGCAACAUAAUUCUGUGCGUGAGCCAACCUCAGAAACAUUGAUUCAACACGGUACUGUGAACCCCGAGAAAGAACUGAAAAGAAGUCGAUGCCGAAAAUCCGUG